CCGAGUUCCUUGGAACAGGACGCCAGAGAGGGUGAGAGCCCCGUACGGUCGGACGCCUAGCCCGUGCAAAGCUCCUUCGACGAGUCGAGUAGUUUGGGAAUGCUGCUCAAAAUGGGAGGUAAAUUUCUUCUAAAGCUAAAUACCGGCCAGAGACCGAUAGCGCACAAGUAGAGUGAUCGAAAGAUGAAAAGCACUUUGAAAAGAGGGUUAMACAGCACGUGAAAUUGUUGAAAGGGAAGCGCUUGUGGCCAGACGUGCGCCCCGCGGACCACCCGUCGCUCUGCGGCGGGGCACGCCGCGGCGGCGCAGGCCAGCAUCGGCUCUCCCAGGGGGACAAAGGCCGCGGGAACGUAGCUCCUUCGGGAGUGUUAUAGCCCGCGGCGUCAUACCUCUGGGGGGGCCGAGGACCGCGCCUUCGGGCAAGGAUGCUGGCGUAAUGGCCACCAGCGACCCGUCUUGAAACACGGACCAAGGAGUCAAGCAUUGGGGCGAGUGUUUGGGUGACAAACCCGCACGCGAAAUGAAAGUGAACGCAGGUGGGAGCCUCCGGGCGCACCACCGACCGAUCCUGAUGUUUUCGGAUGGAUUUGAGUAGGAGCCUUGCCGCUUGGACCCGAAAGAUGGUGAACUAUGCCUGUAUAGGGUGAAGCCAGAGGAAACUCUGGUGGAGGCUCGCAGC
rnacentral:rRNA from 1 species